UACGGGGGGAGCAAGCGUUGUUCGGAUUUACUGGGCGUAAAGGGCGCGUAGGCGGCCAGCACAAGUCAGUUGUGAAAUCUCCGAGCUUAACUCGGAAAGGUCAACUGACACUGUGCGGCUAGAGUGCGGAAGGGGCAACUGGAAUUCUUGGUGUAGCGGUGAAAUGCGUAGAUAUCAAGAGGAACACCUGCGGCGAAGGCGGGUUGCUGGGCCGACACUGACGCUGAGGCGCGAAAGCCAGGGGAGCGAACGGG
rnacentral:rRNA from 1 species